GCGGAACGGAAGAGGCGGCCCAUUGAUAUAACUGCCUAUUCUUGUCCGCAAAACGGACAAGAAUAGGACAGGUUAUAUUUUUUUGGGCCACCACGGAUCGGAGCAAUGGAUUAGGACAGCACAC